ensembl:lncRNA
UGAUUCAGAGGUGCGCUUUCUCUCAGAUACUUUACGAGGUGCACUGCCUGCCAACAGCAGAACUAAAGGCACAGGAAGUGCCAAGACCAGCGUGCCUAGGUCCUCUUCUCAACCAGGAUGGACGCAACGCCGUUUACCCUCCAUGGACGCCGAAGACUUUGAGACCAUUCCGUCCAGCACCGAGGAGCUCUCCAACUCUUCCGACGGAGACGAGGACAGCAGCGGCAAACACGGGGAACACGAUCGCUUUCAGGUACGGCUGGCGUUUGAGGGUCAGGCGCCACAGGACCUGGUGCUGGAACAGGGAGAUUUAGUGCAGUUCUUAGAGGAGGCCGAGAAUGGCCACUGGUGAGUAGUGAAGGGGACACACACACACACACACACACACACACA